rnacentral:rRNA from 1 species
GAUGAACGCUGGCGGCGUGCCUAAUACAUUCAAGUCGAGCGAACAGACGAGGAGCUUGCUCCUCUGACGUUAGCGGCGGACGGGUGAGUAACACGUGGAUAACCUACCUAUAAGACUGGGAUAACUUCGGGAAACCGGAGCUAAUACCGGAUAAUAUAUUGAACCGCAUGGUUCAAUAGUGAAAGACGGUUUUGCUGUCACUUAUAGAUGGAUCCGCGCCGCAUUAGCUAGUUGGUAAGGUAACGGCUUACCAAGGCAACGAUGCGUAGCCGACCUGAGAGGGUGAUCGGCCACACUGGAACUGAGACACGGUCCAGACUCCUACGGGAGGCAGCAGUAGGGAAUCUUCCGCAAUGGGCGAAAGCCUGACGGAGCAACGCCGCGUGAGUGAUGAAGGUCUUCGGAUCGUAAAACUCUGUUAUUAGGGAAGAACAAAUGUGUAAGUAACUAUGCACGUCUUGACGGUACCUAAUCAGAAAGCCACGGCUAACUACGUG